CCUAAAUUUUUCCCCCUUCAAGGCAGUGAGGCCGCAUCUAGAAUAGGUGUUUGAUAGGCAGGACGUGGAAGGCCCGUAAGGGCUGGAGCUGACCUGUACUAACGGCCGAAAGGUUUUCUUCU
rnacentral:rRNA from 1 species